AGCCAGAGACCAGUCACGGUCUUCCCUCCACUUACUCAUUCUUACAUCCCAAAGUCCAUGCUUGAGUUUGCCCUAAAUUCCUCAGGCUGCAGUGAGCCUCUGAUGAUCCCAGAGGGACAUCCUCAUCAGGAAGGAUGACAGUCCCCUCAGAACACACUGCUCUUCCUUGGCUCCCUCAUGCAGUGAGACUCUCCACGAAACCAGUGACAUCACUCAGAGACAAAAUGCGUGUGAAUGGAUGGCAAAUCUAGUCUUCUGGUCACAGGCCUUCCCUGCCCUCACCACACUGACGAACGGGCAGUCAGUCCCCUACUGGGCGUGGCUGACAGGCCCCCACCCAGCCUUGCUCCAGCCCAGGGGAAUGGUGGCUUAGGCGGCCUUGGCGGACCGCGAACCAGAUGCUGGUGGCACUCAUGUGUGGCCCUCGCAAGACAGAUGGGCACGGACGAAGUUCUUCAAUGGAGGGCGAGCCUUUUCAGCCUCAGCCCUGUUGGUGUUUGGGGACUGUUAUGAGCUGAAUCGUGUCCCUCAAAAGACACGUUCAAGUCCCAACCCCUAGAGCCUGUAGAGGUGGCCUUGUUUGGAAGCAGCAUCUUUGCAGAUGUGACUCAGACGAGGGCAUACCGAAUGCGCCACGGCCCCAUGACGAAGGCCCACCAGUGGGGCGUGCGAGCUGACAUGUGGCGAGCAGACGUGCAUGUGAGCAGAUGUGCCUCAGCCUGACGCCAGCGAGAGGAGGCCUCAGGGCCGCACACAACAGUGGGACGAUGCGCCCGGCCCGUCAGGAGGGGUUCACCCUCCUGUCGCCGAGCGAGGCCCCCCGUGCUGCCCAGUGUUUCACACGCACGUCCGUCUCAGCUCCAGAAGAAAUGCGGCUUUUCUUUGCACUUGCUGGUCGAUGCAGCUCCAACCCCAUGGA